rnacentral:rRNA from 1 species
UACGGGGGGGGCAAGCGUUGUUCGGAAUUACUGGGCGUAAAGGGCUCGUAGGCGGCCAACUAAGUCAGACGUGAAAUCCCUCGGCUUAACCGGGGAACUGCAUCCGAUACUGGAUGGCUUGAAUCCGGGAGAGGGAUGCAGAAUUCCAGGUGUAGCGGUGAAAUGCGUAGAUAUCUGGAGGAAUACCGGUGGCGAAGGCGGCAUCCUGGACCGGCAUUGACGCUGAGGAGCGAAAGCUAGGGGAGCAAACGGG